rnacentral:rRNA from 1 species
CCCUUAGAUGUUCUGGGCCGCACGCGCGCUACACUGACGAAUGCAACGAGCUUAUAACCUUGGCCGAAAGGUCUGGGUAAUCUCCAAAUUUCGUCGUGAUGGGGAUAGAUUAUUGCAAUUAUUAAUCUUCAACGAGGAAUGCCUAGUAAGCGCAAGUCAUCAGUUUGCGUUGAUUACGUCCCUGCCCUUUGUACACACCGCCCGUCGCUCCUACCGAUUGAAUGGUCCGGUGAAGCGUUCGGACCGUGGCCUUUGGACGGUUCGCCGUCUGUUGGCUGCGGGAAGUUCGUUAAACCUUAUCAUUUAGAGGAAGGAGAAGUCGUAACA